rnacentral:rRNA from 1 species
CAGCAGUAGCCGCGGUAAUACGAAGGUCCCGAGCGUUGUUCGGAAUCACUGGGCGUAAAGGGAGCGUAGGCGGCGUGGUAAGUCAGAUGUGAAAUCCCGGGGCUCAAUCCCGGAACUGCAUCCGAUACUGCCAUGCUAGAGGAUUGGAGAGGUAGCUGGAAUUCUUGGUGUAGCAGUGAAAUGCGUGGAGAUCAAGAGGAACACUCGUGGCGAAAGCGAGCUACUGGACAAUAACUGACGCUGAGGCUCGAAGGCCAGGGUAGCGAAAGGGAUUAGAUACCCCCGUAGUCCCUGUCUCUUAUAA